UACAGGGGGUGCAAACGUUGCUCGGAACCAUUGGGCGUAAAGCGCACGUAGGCGGUUUGUUAUGUCGGAUGUGAAAGCCCUUGGCUCAACUGAGGAAGUGCAUCCGAAACUGGCAGCUAGAGUACUAAAGAGGGUCGCGGAAUUCCCGGUGUAGAGGUGAAAUUCGUAGAUAUCGGGAGGAACACCGGUGGCGAAGGCGGCGACCUGGGUAGAUACUGACGCUGAGGUGCGAAAGCGUGGGGAGCAAACAGGG
rnacentral:rRNA from 1 species